rnacentral:rRNA from 1 species
AUUGAACGCUGGCGGCAGGCCUAACACAUGCAAGUCGAACGGUAACAGGAAGCAGCUUGCUGCUUUGCUGACGAGUGGCGGACGGGUGAGUAAUGUCUGGGAAACUGCCUGAUGGAGGGGAAUAACUACGGAAAAGGGUGGCUAAUACCGCAUAACGUCGCAAACCAAAAGGGGGGGCCCUUGGGCCCUCUUGCCAUGGGAUGUGCCCAGAUGGGAUUAGCUAGUAGGUGGGGUAACGGCUCACCUAGGCGACGAUCCCUAGCUGGUCUGAGAGGAUGACCAGCCACACUGGAACUGAGACACGGUCCAGACUCCUACGGGAGGCAGCAGUGGGGAAUAUUGCACAAUGGGCGCAAGCCUGAUGCAGCCAUGCCGCGUGUAUGAAGAAGGCCUUCGGGUUGUAAAGUACUUUCAGCGGGGAGGAAGGGAGUAAAGUUAAUACCUUUGCUCAUUGACGUUACCCGCAGAAGAAGCACCGGCUAACUCCGUG